rnacentral:misc_RNA from 1 species
GGAAGUAAAAGUCGUAACAAUGUCUCCGUUGGUGAACCAGCGGAGGGAUCAUUACCGAGUUCUUCUACUCCCAAACCCCUGUGAACUUAUACCUUUACUGUUGCUUCGGCGGGUUAACGCCCCGGAAGGCCCAAAAAGCCGCCGGAACCAGGCGCCCGCCGGGGGACCCAAACUCUUGUAUUUCUUACUUUGCAUGUCUGAGUGGAAUCAUAAACAAAUGAAUCAAAACUUUCAACAACGGAUCUCUUGGUUCUG